rnacentral:ncRNA from 1 species
CUCGAUUAAAAUGAUGUUAUCAUAAGUAAAACAGCAUAUCGGAGGGAAGUUCGGUGCAAAUCCGUCGCAACAGCCAUUACCGUGAUUGAAGCAAUUCAUAAGUCGGAAUACCCGGUACGCUUUAAUAAAAUCU